AGUAAAGUGUGAGGGUUCUCUGGCUUUAGAUAUUACAAUAAGAACCAGUUAGGAAUCGUCAGUGUUGGAAAACACUCAGGUCGGUUCACCCAUAUUACAAAAAAAACUAUUUCCUUGAAUGCAUUUUAUUGGUAUCUAGACAUGCAUAGUUUAGUUUAGUUUUAUUUGCACAGGUUACUCUGGAUUAGCCAUAAACAUUGGACCUUGAUGGAUUCUCCUGAUUGAUGGGCACACUGUUGCUUUUUUUUUUUUUUUCUUCCUUCUUCUAUCUCAGAAGUUGAAACCCUUUAUUAUCGUCUCCCUGUUGAAUCAGUUGAUCGGUUCUCAAAAUGGAAAGGAAAGCACCACAAUACAGGAUAAAGACAAUGCAACACCAGGGAGGUUUGCGUUUGCAGAUCUUCAGCAUUGGUCCAUAUUUCCAAACCAACUCAAGGGUUUGCCCUUGAUUUUCAAGUUUGUAUGCACCAUCCAUUGGGCAUACUUAAAGUAGACCUCAUGAUGUGGAACUGGGUAAUGGAGUAUUUUUCCCAAUGCUUUGAUUAAAAA